rfam:Schistosoma margrebowiei strain Zambia genome assembly, scaffold: SMRZ_contig0005554
AUCCAGAUUACGAGUCCUAAGUAGAACGAAACACGCGUUCUGGAU